rnacentral:rRNA from 1 species
AUUGAACGCUGGCGGCAGGCCUAGCACAUGCAAGUCGAACGGUAACAGGAAGAAGCUUGCUUCUUUGCUGACGAGUGGCGGACGGGUGAGUAAUGUCUGGGAAACUGCCUGAUGGAGGGGGAUAACUACUGGAAACGGUAGCUAAUACCGCAUAACGUCGCAAGACCAAAGAGGGGGACCUUCGGGCCUCUUGCCAUCGGAUGUGCCCAGAUGGGAUUAGCUAGUAGGUGGGGUAACGGCUCACCUAGGCGACGAUCCCUAGCUGGUCUGAGAGGAUGACCAGCCACACUGGAACUGAGACACGGUCCAGACUCCUACGGGAGGCAGCAGUGGGGAAUAUUCCACAAUGGGCGCAAGCCUGAUGCAGCCAUGCCGCGUGUAUGAAGAAGGCCUUCGGGUUGUAAAGUACUUUCAGCGGGGAGGAAGGGAGUAAAGUUAAUACCUUUGCUCAUUGACGUUACCCGCAGAAGAAGCACCGGCUAACUCCGUG